CCCAGUGAUUCCCAUGUAUACAGUACAGUAGAGCUACUGCCUGUGACCUAGCCCCUACUGCAACAGUGAUUCUUAACGAGGAAAAACUGGAACUGAACUUUCUGAAAGAGAAGCUGGACUGGCAGAAGAAGAGAACUGGAAAACUGGAAAAAGAGAGAUGUUUUCUCUAUGGACAGUUAUCAUCCCUCACAGUACAACUGAAGGAAGAACCCAUGGAUGAUCCAGUUGCCAUGAAUGAUUCUGAAACCUCUGAUUCAUCAUCCACAUCUUCAUCUACAUCUUCUUUAUCCUCAUCUUCAGAAGCCAGAGUUCUGUUGGAGUUUGGAAAAGACCAGGUUUCCUCUAAUGAGGCGCCACACAGCAACUAUCAUGAGUGUGUUUGGCUCCAUAUACGUAUGCGAGCAAACCUUUUCUCUGAUGACUCUGAACAAAAGCCAACUGAGAGCCAAGUUGAUCGACAGCCAUCUCUGCGACUUUCUUUGUAUCUCGACAUCCUGACGUGUCAGCUGUUCUUCAGUCCAACAUUACUGCUCCCAAUGAGUGAACUGCUGUUCCCAUCAUCAAUGAUUUAAAAAUCAUUCUGAAGGACAAGUCUGAAUACUUGCAAGACAGACGCUCAGGGCUGCUGGAGAGCUGUGGAGGGCUGCGUCUGUAGUGGUUGGUGUGGUUGAGCGAAAUUUCUUGGGUGUAACUAUGGUGGGUGGUUUAGUGAUCACAUUAAGGAAAUUCCCCUUUUCCCCCUGUUACACUGGGGGCAAACAUCAGCUCCACAGAAGCACAUCUGGAGCUGCUAUAGACUCACUGUCCACAUGAAGACGGCUGCAGGAGAGCAGGUUGAACUAAAGAUGCCCCAUUAAAGACAAUCUCCACACGCUAUAUACAGUCUCUAUGUACAGUAUAUACACUAUGUAUCAUU